CCUACGGGAGGCAGCAGUGAGGAAUAUUGGUCAAUGGGAGAGAUCCUGAACCAGCCAAGCCGCGUGAGGGAAGACGGCCCUAUGGGUUGUAAACCUCUUUUGUCGGAGAACAAAACCCGGGACGUGUCCCGGACUGCGUGUAUCCGAAGAAAAAGCAUCGGCUAACUCCGUGCCAGCAGCCGCGGUAAUACGGAGGAUGCGAGGGUUAUCCGGAUUUAUUGGGUUUAAAGGGGGCGUAGGCGGUCCGUUAAGUCAGCGGUAAAAUUGCGGGGCUCAACCCCGGCGGGCCGUUGAAACUGGGAGACUUGAGUGGGCGAGAAGUACGCGGAAUGCGCGGGGUAGCGGUGAAAUGCAUAGAUAGGGGGCAGAACUCCGAUGGCGAAGGCAGAGUGCCGGCGCGAGAGUGACGGUGAGGCACGAAAGCGUGGGGAUCGAACAGGAUUAGAUACCCGAGGAGUC
rnacentral:rRNA from 1 species